CUUCCGUCUGUGUACUUCCGGGGUCAAGUGUUUGACUGAGACAGUGACCGGUGUGCUGUUGGGGCAUACGUGUCUUUCGGCGUCCUAUUGUGGUGAGACGCCCGUAGCCGCCUGGGUUUACUCCCUCGCUCCUCUCAUGUGCCUGUGUAUCUGCUUAAAAGGUGUAAUCUGCCUGAAUGCCAGCCGUCUGAGAACUCCGCUGUUUUGUCUCCACUGUUUUGUCUCCACUGCUUUGUCUCCGCUGUUCUGUCCCUGUGGUUGCUCUCGUUGCUUCGUCUGCGCAUCCGCUGCUUGCCUUGGCUGGCUGCUUUCCCGCCGCUGUGCUGCGGCUUUCCGCUGACCUGUUCCGCUGCUGCUCGGUCUUGUGGCUUCGCCUGGCUUGGAGCUUGGCGCUGGUGGCCUCUGUCUGCGCUCUGGACUGCUCUGCCUGCUGUGGUCGGCCCGCGUGCUGGGCUGUGACUGACUUGCCAGGCCGCUCGGCCUCUCCUGACGGACACUACGUGCAAUUUCUAUUAUUAUAGAAUUCCGCUUUUAUGUGUGUGUUUUAAUGGUGGGG